rnacentral:rRNA from 1 species
GAAAAUCAAUUCCCGGUACCCGAAACCGACACAGGUGGGCAAGUAGAGAAUACUAAGGGGCGCGAGGUAACUCUCUCCAAGGAACUCGGCAAAAUGACCCCGUAACUUAGGGAGAAGGGGUGCCACCGAGAGGUGGUCGCAGUGAAGAGGCCCAGGCGACUGUUUAGCAAAAACAUAGGUCUCUGCAAACUCGAAAGAGGAGGUAUAGGGGCUGACGCCUGCCCAGUGCCGGAAGGUUAAAGAAGUUGGUCAGUUUUAGGAUGAAGCUAGCGACUGAAGCCCCGGUGAACGGCGGCCGUAACUAUAACGGUCCUAAGGUAGCGAAAUUCCUUGUCGGGUAAGUUCCGACCCGCACGAAAGGCGUAACGAUCUGGGCGCUGUCUCGGAGAGAGGCUCGGCGAAAUAGGAUUGUCUGUGAAGAUACGGACUACCUGCAUUUGGACAGAAAGACCCUAUGAAGCUUUACUAUAGCUUGGAAUUGUGUUCGGGCUUCCUGUGCGCAGGAUAGGUGGGAGGCGUAGAAGGUAUUCUUGUGGGGAUACUGGAGCCAACGGUGAGAUACCACUCUCAGGAGGCUAGAAUUCUAGCUUAAUUAAGGACAGUUUCAGGUGGGUAGUUUGACUGGGGCGGUCGCCUCCAAAAAGGUAACGGAGGCGUACAAAGGUUCCCUCAGACUGGUUGGAAAUCAGUCGAAGAGUGCAAAGGCAGAAGGGAGCUUGACUGCGAGAAGUACAGUUCGAGCAGGGUGGAAACACGGUCUUAGUGAUCCGACGGUGCUGUGUGGAAGGGCCGUCGCUCAACGGAUAAAAGUUACCCUAGGAUAACAGGCUGAUCUCCCCCAAGAGUUCACAUCGACGGGGAGGUUUGGCACCUCGAUGUCGGCUCAUCGCAACCUGGGGCGGAAGUACGUCCCAAGGGUUGGGCUGUUCGCCCAUUAAAGCGGUACGUGAGCUGGGUUCAGAACGUCGUGAGACAGUUCGGUCCAUAUCCGAUGUAGGCGUGAGAAUAUUGAGAGGAGCCUUCCUUAGUACGAGAGGACCGGGAAGGACGCACCGCUGGUGUACCUGUUAUGAUGCCAAUUGUAAACGCAGGGUAGCCAAGUGGGGAGAGGAUAACCGCUGAAAGCAUCUAAGUGGGAAGCCCACCUCAAGAUGAGUAUUCUGGUGUAAGGUCACGGGAAGACGACCCGUAAAUAGGCACGAGGUGGAAGUGCAGAGAUGUAUGAAGCCGAAGUGUACUAAUAGACCGUCGGCUUGACC